GCCCCCACCUUUUUACCAGUCCAGGUUCUUUUCUAUGUCUGCUCAAGGACAAACGUUUCUUUUAGAAGUAAAGAAUGUGAUGACCCGAUAGAUCGUUUUGAGCAUUAGCCUUAAUUUCUAUAUUUUGAUACCUCUUAUAGCUCCGUUUAAUGUUUUUUGAUUUGCAUGCAUAGUCCGUGUCAUUUUUCGAAAAGUUUUUUAAGUAAAGAUUUGAAGAAAAAGUGAUUUUUGCUUAAAAUGAGAUUUGGGUUGACCACAGUCUACAUUCUUAGUAAACGACUUCGGAUCGGUGUUUUGACGAUUUCGGUAGGUUUAUAUGAUAUUUUUGGACUUUUAUGCACUUUUUGUUAGAGUUCGGGGUGACCUGAGCACAUUUCAGCGUGUAAUAUGAAAAAUUGUUAAAACGAGUUUUCAAGUUGAAAUUCUUGAGUUUUGAUGAUUGAUUCGUGUUAUUUGAUGUUAUUUUGAUGAUUUGAGGUAGCAAGCAAGUUUGUAGGAUAUUUAUACACUUUUGUGCAUGUACGGUUUGGAGCCCGAGGGUUUUGGGUGAAUUUUGGGUACAUUACGGAAGAGUUUGGGCAUUGUUGGUGAAAGGCCAGUUAGUGUGUAAUUUGCAGAUCUCGCAUCUGCGCGGUCUGGCUCGCAUUUGCAAGCAUACUUUUGCGGUCAGUUGAUUGCAUUUACGAUAUUGGGCUGGUGGGUUGGUACUUCGCUUUUGCAAAGAGAACUUCGCAUUUGCGAACUUAGCUGAGACUGCAUUUGCAAUCUCAGAGUCGCAUUUGUGACACAGCGUCAUGUGAGUGAGUUUCGCAUUUGCGAUACCUGCAGCUGAGUUAUCCCAUUUGUCACAUUUAUUGGUUGUAUUAGUUGUUUGUGUUUAAGAGUUGAUAUUAGGAGCGGGUUGCGCACCGCAAUAGUAUUGAAAUAAAUUAUAAUGGGAAUGGGUUGUAUGCUGCAAAAAAUAUUAAUAUAAUAGGAUCGGGUUGCGCGCCCCAACAAAUAUUAUGAAAUGAUAUUAGUAUCGGGUUGCACGCUUGUUGGGAUCGGGUUGCACAUUGCAACAUAGUAUAAUGUGUUAUAGUUGUCUGUAACUGUAGUGCUUUAACUUGGUACUAUGAUAUGAGUUUUGAGAGGAUGUAAUUUUGGGGCCUUCUGUUAGUUAACUUUCGGGUCCGUACUUAUGAGUUACUAUUUAUCUAUAUUAAUAUUUUCUAUCAUUAUUACUCAUACAGGUUUAUAGUGAGUGUCAUAUCAUAGCUUCGUCAAUACCUCGUUGAGGUUAGGCUCGACACUUACAGAGUACAUGGGGUCGAUUUUACUCAUACUACACUUCUGUACUUCUUAUGCAAAUCCCAGUGUUGGUCUUAGCGGCGCGUAGAGGAGAUUACUCGGAUCUAACUACUACAGCAGACUUGACGUAGAGCUGCUUAUCAUUCACAGUCCCUGAAGUCCUCUUCUAUCAUGUUUUAAUAUUUAUUUUGUUUCAAAACGUUG
rnacentral:lncRNA from 1 species